rnacentral:rRNA from 1 species
GGCUCAGAUUGAACGCUGGCGGCAGGCCUAACACAUGCAAGUCGAGCGGAUGACGGGAGCUUGCUCCUUGAUUCAGCGGCGGACGGGUGAGUAAUGCCUAGGAAUCUGCCUGGUAGUGGGGGACAACGUUUCGAAAGGAACGCUAAUACCGCAUACGUCCUACGGGAGAAAGCAGGGGACCUUCGGGCCUUGCGCUAUCAGAUGAGCCUAGGUCGGAUUAGCUAGUUGGUGGGGUAAUGGCUCACCAAGGCGACGAUCCGUAACUGGUCUGAGAGGAUGAUCAGUCACACUGGAACUGAGACACGGUCCAGACUCCUACGGGAGGCAGCAGUGGGGAAUAUUGGACAAUGGGCGAAAGCCUGAUCCAGCCAUGCCGCGUGUGUGAAGAAGGUCUUCGGAUUGUAAAGCACUUUAAGUUGGGAGGAAGGGCAGUAAGUUAAUACCUUGCUGUUUUGACGUUACCGACAGAAUAAGCACCGGCUAACUCUGUGCCAGCAGCCGCGGUAAUACAGAGGGUGCAAGCGUUAAUCGGAAUUACUGGGCGUAAAGCGCGCGUAGGUGGUUUGUUAAGUUGGAUGUGAAAGCCCCGGGCUCAACCUGGGAACUGCAUCCAAAACUGGCAAGCUAGAGUACGGUAGAGGGUGGUGGAAUUUCCUGUGUAGCGGUGAAAUGCGUAGAUAUAGGAAGGAACACCAGUGGCGAAGGCGACCACCUGGACUGAUACUGACACUGAG